AUUGAACGCUGGCGGCAGGCCUAACACAUGCAAGUCGAGCGGUUGACGGGAGCUUGCUCCCUGAUUCAGCGGCGGACGGGUGAGUAAUGCCUAGGAAUCUGCCUAUUAGUGGGGGACAACGUUUCGAAAGGGACGCUAAUACCGCAUACGUCCUACGGGAGAAAGCAGGGGACCUUCGGGCCUUGCGCUAAUAGAUGAGCCUAGGUCGGAUUAGCUUGUUGGUGAGGUAAUGGCUCACCAAGGCGACGAUCCGUAACUGGUCUGAGAGGAUGAUCAGUCACACUGGAACUGAGACACGGUCCAGACUCCUACGGGAGGCAGCAGUGGGGAAUAUUGGACAAUGGGCGAAAGCCUGAUCCAGCCAUGCCGCGUGUGUGAAGAAGGUCUUCGGAUUGUAAAGCACUUUAAGUUGGGAGGAAGGGUUGUAGAUUAAUACUCUGCAAUUUUGACGUUACCGACAGAAUAAGCACCGGCUAACUCUGUGCCAGCAGCCGCGUAACAC
rnacentral:rRNA from 1 species